AGGAGACCGGCUACCCCUGCCCGGGCCUGCUGCCGCCACCUGCCCUGGGAACCGUUAACCUAGCGAGGGUUUCACCUCCGCCUGCAGCCCUCUAGGCCUCCUCCGCUUCGCUCCCGGCCGGCUGCCUCCUGACCAGGUCAGGUGCUGCGAGCUUUCACAUGCAAUUUCAAUCAUCUGCGCUGGAGAAGAGAGGCUGCAGCUGCACUGCUCGUCCACAAAGCAGGUGGGACAUGGAAGAGGAGCAGGUCCAAAGCAACUAGGGUGCUGUAAAGCCAAGCCAGGAACAACAGCUCCAUGCAGAGCAGGGGAAACGGCCCCCACACCGCGCAGGCGUGGCCUAAGCUGCAUCCCACUUCCUCUGCUUCCCUGGGGAUUCGGCUGGACCUUGGCACAAAGGUUUGUGAGCACAGCAAGGAGAAAUUCAGGACAUCAGGACUUUGCCCCAAUGUGCAGUUGCCCUCUACCGGCGGGCGAAGGGAUUAGUUAUGUUGCUUGGAAAUCUGUGCUGGCUGCUGACCACCGAAGUACUGCAGUAACUGAUGCGUUUAGGCCAUGGUGUUUAUGCUCCCAUCUCUUUGCAACUGGAAGACAAUAGUCUAACUGAAAUCUCAUUUAAAUUAAAAAAGAAAGUGAGGACUUCUGGUCCUUUAAAUGCAGGUUUUAUUUGUCUUACCUGUUGUUUAAUCUUGCUGUUUUCUCUCUACCCAAAUCCAAAUAAAUGACACUGCACAAAAGUAACCAUUGACUUCUAGUGUGCUCGUUGUUUGGACGGGGGAGGUGGACUAUACGGGCUGUAGUCUCAAUCUGCUUCAUCUUUG